GUCUGCGUAGUAUAUUUAUUAUUCUGAUCUUGUAAAUCAGAGAAGAGAAAAAAAUCUUUCUCCACGGACU
rnacentral:tRNA from 1 species